CACGUAGGAGGCGAGCGUUAUCCGGAUUUACUGGGCGUAAAGCGCGUGCAGGCGGUUUGGUAAGUUGGAUGUGAAAGCUCCUGGCUUAACUGGGAGAGGUCGUUCAAUACUACCAGACUAGAGUAUGGGAGAGGGAGGUGGAAUUCCGGGUGUAGUGGUGAAAUGCGUAGAUAUCCGGAGGAACACCAGUGGCGAAAGCGGCCUCCUGGCCCAUUUCUGACGCUCAGACGCGAAAGCUAGGGUAG
rnacentral:rRNA from 1 species